rnacentral:rRNA from 1 species
GUGGGGAAUUUUGGACAAUGGGCGCAAGCCUGAUCCAGCAAUGCCGCGUGCAGGAAGAAGGCGCUACGCGUUGUAAACUGCUUUUAACCGGGAAGAAACCCCAGGACGUGUCCUGGGUUGACGGUACCGGAGGAAUAAGCACCGGCUAACUUCGUGCCAGCAGCCGCGGUAAUACGAAGGGUGCAAGCGUUAUCCGGAUUCAUUGGGUUUAAAGGGUGCGUAGGCGGAGCGUUAAGUCAGUGGUGAAAUCCUGCAGCUUAACUGUAGACUUGCCAUUGAUACUGGCGCUCUUGAGUGCGCUUGAAGUGGGCGGAAUGUGCCGUGUAGCGGUGAAAUGCUUAGAUAUGGCACAGAACACCAAUUGCGAAGGCAGCUCACUAAGGCGAUACUGACGCUGAGGCACGAAAGCGUGGGGAUCGAACAGGAUUAGAUACCCGAGUAGUCC